rnacentral:tRNA from 2 species
CUAUAGCUCAGCGGUAGAGUUCCAGAUUGUGGAUCUGGCUGUCGUGGGUUCGAACCCCACUAG